rnacentral:rRNA from 1 species
ACUGCAGUCGAGCGAACAGACGAGGAGCUUGCUCCUCUGACGUUAGCGGCGGACGGGUGAGUAACACGUGGAUAACCUACCUAUAAGACUGGGAUAACUUCGGGAAACCGGAGCUAAUACCGGAUAAUAUAUUGAACCGCAUGGUUCAAUAGUGAAAGACGGUUUUGCUGUCACUUAUAGAUGGAUCCGCGCCGCAUUAGCUAGUUGGUAAGGUAACGGCUUACCAAGGCAACGAUGCGUAGCCGACCUGAGAGGGUGAUCGGCCACACUGGAACUGAGACACGGUCCAGACUCCUACGGGAGGCAGCAGUAGGGAAUCUUCCGCAAUGGGCGAAAGCCUGACGGAGCAACGCCGCGUGAGUGAUGAAGGUCUUCGGAUCGUAAAACUCUGUUAUUAGGGAAGAACAAAUGUGUAAGUAACUAUGCACGUCUUGACGGUACCUAAUCAGAAAGCCACGGCUAACUACGUGCCAGCAGCCGCGGUAAUACGUAGGUGGCAAGCGUUAUCCGGAAUUAUUGGGCGUAAAGCGCGCGUAGGCGGUUUUUUAAGUCUGAUGUGAAAGCCCACGGCUCAACCGUGGAGGGUCAUUGGAAACUGGAAAACUUGAGUGCAGAAGAGGAAAGUGGAAUUCCAUGUGUAGCGGUGAAAUGCGCAGAGAUAUGGAGGAACACCAGUGGCGAAGGCGACUUUCUGGUCUGUAACUGACGCUGAUGUGCGAAAGCGUGGGGAUCAAACAGGAUUAGAUACCCUGGUAGUCCACGCCGUAAACGAUGAGUGCUAAGUGUUAGGGGGUUUCCGCCCCUUAGUGCUGCAGCUAACGCAUUAAGCACUCCGCCUGGGGAGUACGACCGCAAGGUUGAAACUCAAAGGAAUUGACGGGGACCCGCACA